UGUGAAGUUAAAGGCAUGGGCAUCAGUGAUCUGGUCAGCUGGUGUCUUGGAAAGAAACCUGCAACGCCAAAUGUGAACACUGAGCAGCUUUGUUAUUACCUGUCAGACUGGGCCGAUUAAGAAAUGCUGUAGCGGUAGGACUGAGAGUGCAAUUCCAGCUUCCCCAACGACACACCCAAGGGAAUAUUUAAGGCAUCCGCUUUUGGCCAUAGUUGGAGACAGGAUGCCAGCGUUGAUGAACCUUUUGCCUGACAGACAUAGCUGCUCUUCCAGGACCGCUGUGUGCAGAGGGUAAAUGUGACCAAGCUCCCAUCUCUGCCAUGAAGCUGGAGACAAGAAAGUGUCAGAGAGCUUCAGAAAGCAUUUGCUGUUUGGGCAAGAGGCACAUGUACUUCCACUUCCUUCUGAGGCUGGGC